rnacentral:rRNA from 1 species
CCUACGGGUGGCAGCAGUGGGGAAUAUUGGACAAUGGGGGCAACCCUGAUCCAGCCAUGCCGCGUGUGUGAAGAAGGCCCUCGGGUUGUAAAGCACUUUCAGUGAGGAAGAACGCCUGGUGGUUAAUACCCAUCAGGAAAGACAUCACUCACAGAAGAAGCACCGGCUAACUCCGUGCCAGCAGCCGCGGUAAUACGGAGGGUGCGAGCGUUAAUCGGAAUUACUGGGCGUAAAGCGCGCGUAGGUGGCUUGAUAAGCCGGUUGUGAAAGCCCCGGGCUCAACCUGGGAACGGCAUCCGGAACUGUCAAGCUAGAGUGCAGGAGAGGAAGGUAGAAUUCCCGGUGUAGCGGUGAAAUGCGUAGAGAUCGGGAGGAAUACCAGUGGCGAAGGCGGCAUUCUGGACUGACACUGACACUGAGGUGCGAAAGCGUGGGUAGCAAACAGGAUUAGAUACCCCAGUAGUC